rnacentral:rRNA from 1 species
AUUGAACGCUGGCGGCAGGCCUAACACAUGCAAGUCGAACGGUAACAGGAAACAGCUUGCUGUUUCGCUGACGAGUGGCGGACGGGUGAGUAAUGUCUGGGAAACUUCCUGAUGGAGGGGGAUAACUACUGGAAACGGUAGCUACUACCGCAUAACGUCGCAAGACCAAAGAGGGGGACCUUCUGGCCUCUUGCCAUCGGAUGUGCCCAGAUGGGAUUAGCUAGUAGGUGGGGUAACGGCUCACCUAGGCGACGAUCCCUAGCUGGUCUGAGAGGAUGACCAGCAACACGGGAAAUGAGAAACGGCACAAACCCCCAGGGGAGGCAGGAGUGGGGAAUAUUGAAAAAGGGGAGAAAGCCGGAGGCAGCCAGGCCGGGGGAAAGAAGAAGGCCUUGGGGUUGAAAAGUAUUUUGAGGGGGGAGGAAGGGAAAAAAGUUAAAACCUUUACAAAUGAACGUUCCCCGCAAAAGAAACACGGGAAAACCCGGG